rnacentral:rRNA from 1 species
GAAGAAGUGAAUUAAGGGCAUUUGGUGGAUGCCUUGGCAUGCACAGGCGAAGAAGGACGUGAUACGCUGCGAAAAGCCGUGGGGAGCUGCGAAUAAGCUUUGAUCCAUGGAUCUCCGAAUGGGGCAACCCACCUUAAAUGCUUGGAAAAUCCAAACCGUCUUCGACGGCUUGGGUUUCCAAGCAUUGUGAUAAGGUAUCUUACUUUCGAAUACAUAGGGGUAAGAAGCGAACGCAGGGAACUGAAACAUCUAAGUACCUGCAGGAAAGGACAUCAACCGAGACUCCGCAAGUAGUGGCGAGCGAACGCGGACCAGGCCAGUGGCAAUGAUGAAUAAAGCGGAACGAUUUGGAAAAGUCGGCCAUAGAGGGUGAUAGCCCCUUACGCGUAGAACAGUCAUUGUCCUUGAGUAGGGCGGGACACGUGAAAUCCUGUCUGAACAUGGGGAGACCACUCUCCAAGCCUAAGUACUCGUGCAUGACCGAUAGCGAACAAGUACCGUGAGGGAAAGGUGAAAAGCACCCCGACGAGGGGAGUGAAAUAGAACCUGAAACCGGAUGCCUACAAACAGUCGGAGCCCGCAAGGGUGACGGCGUACCUUUUGUAUAAUGGGUCAACGACUUAGUGUAACUAGCAAGCUUAAGCCGGUAGGUGUAGGCGCAGCGAAAGCGAGUCUGAAUAGGGCGAUUGAGUUAGUUGCAUUAGACCCGAAACCGAGUGAUCUAGCCAUGAGCAGGCUGAAGGUUGGGUAACACCAACUGGAGGGCCGAACCCAUAACUGUUGCAAUAGUUCGGGAUGACUUGUGGCUAGGGGUGAAAGGCCAAUCAAACUCGGAAAUAGCUGGUUCUCCGCGAAAUCUAUUUAGGUAGAGCGUCGACCGAAUACCCUCGGGGGUAGAGCACUGGAUGGGCUAUGGGGACUCACCGUCUUACUGAUCCUAACCAAACUCCGAAUACCGAGGAGUACUAGUCGGCAGACACACGGCGGGUGCUAACGUCCGUCGUGAAAAGGGCAACAACCCUGACCUCCAGCUAAGGUCCCCAAGUCAUGGCUAAGUGGGAAAGGAUGUGAGGAUCCCAAAACAACCAGGAUGUUGGCUUAGAAGCAGCCAUCAUUUAAAGAAAGCGUAACAGCUCACUGGUCUAAAUAAGGGUCUUUGCGCCGAAAAUGUAACGGGGCUAAAGCCAUGCACCGAAGCUGAGGAUUUGCAGUAAUGCAAGUGGUAGCGGAGCGUUCCGUAAGUCUGUGAAGGCGGACCCGUGAGGGCUGCUGGAGAUAUCGGAAGUGCGAAUGUUGACAUGAGUAACGAUAAAGGGAGUGAGAGACUCCCUCGCCGAAAGACCAAGGGUUCCUGCUUAAAGUUAAUCUGAGCAGGGUUAGCCGGCCCCUAAGACGAGGCGGACACGCGUAGUCGAUGGGAACCACGUUAAUAUUCGUGGGCCUGGUGGUAGUGACGGAUCUCGUGUGUUGUUCAACCUUAUUGGAUUGGUUGGGCGGCGAAGAGGUUCCAGGAAAUAGCUCCACCGUAUAGACCGUACCCGAAACCGACACAGGUGGUCAGGUAGAGUAUACCAAGGCGCUUGAGAGAACUAUGUUGAAGGAACUCGGCAAAUUGCACGCGUAACUUCGGAAGAAGCGUGACCCUUUUGUACGCAAGUAUGAUGGGGUGGCACAGACCAGGGGGUAGCGACUGUUUAUCAAAAACACAGGGCUCUGCGAAGUAGCAAUACGACGUAUAGGGUCUGACGCCUGCCCGGUGCUGGAAGGUUAAAGGGAGGGGUGCAAGCUCUGAACUGAAGCCCCAGUAAACGGCGGCCGUAACUAUAACGGUCCUAAGGUAGCGAAAUUCCUUGUCGGG